AAUAGCCAAAGGUUGAAGGGUGCUAGCAGGCCGUUGGUGCUCUGCUUUAACACAACGACAGACGUCGCAGCUAGCAAUGUAUUGAGCGAUUUCUCUUUUCAUCCUAGUCCACCAAAACCUCUAGCGUAGGUCUUGAUACAUUUUAGUACUACCGGGAUGAAUGGUGAGAGGGGAUUCAUGAGCUUCCUUAAGGAUCAACUGGCGUAGAUGUUGUUUCUUGGGAACCACCAGACGGUUCUCGAAGAAGACAACACCUCGCUCAUCCAUGGAGAAACAUUUAGCAACUCCGCUAGUGAUGUUUUCCUUAAUUCGGGAUAUGCCCUUAUCAUACCGCUGGGCGGUUAUGAUUUGAUCCAUAAGGUUAGGUUUCGCUACCAGGGUGGAUAGAAAACCUCGAGGAACAAUGUGAAGAUUAAGCUUACGAAAUUACUCAUGGAGAAGUGGUUGACUUUGUUGUAACAUCGGGUUGUUACAAUAGGACUUACGGCUUAGCGCAUCAGCCAUGACAUUGGCUUUGCCCGGGGUGUAAGUUAUUCCUAAGUCAUAAUCCAAGAUCAACUCGACCCAAUGUCUUUGCCUGAGAUUCAAAUCUGGUUGGGUGAAGAUAUAUUUCAAACUUUGGUGAUCGGUGAAGAUCUCGCAACGAUUACCGAGGAGGUAAUGUCGCCAAGUUUUAAGUGCAUGGACUACAGCUGCAAGCUCUAGAUCAUGUGUGGGAUAAUUUUCCUCAUGUGGGUGUAAUUGCAGUGAAGCAUAUGCAAUUACCUGACGAUCCUGCAUGAGUAUGCAACCUAGUCCUUGUCGCGAGGCGUCGCAAUAGAUAACAAAGUCCUUGGAGAAAUCUGGUGGUACCAGUAUGGGAGCAGAUGUCAGGCGUCUUUUCAGUUCCUGAAAGCUGAACUCACACUAUGGAGUCCACUCGAACUUUUUAUCUUUCUUGAGGAGUUCAGUUAGAGGUUUAGCAACCUUGGAGAAAUUCUCGAUGAAGCGGCGGCAAUAGCUUGCUAAGCCAAGGAAGCUCCAAACUUGCUUGACCGUCUCAGGUGGAGUCCAAUCAAGGAUGGCUUGAACUCGCUCGGGAUUUACAGGAAUACCCUUACCAGAGAUUACAUGGUCUAGAUAGGUCACUUCUGGCAACCAAAAUUCACACUUGGAGAAUUUGGCAUAAAGACGAUGCUCUCGAAGUUUCAUCAAUACCAGCCUUAGAUGUUUGGCAUGUUCCUCUUCAUUCUUGGAGUAGAUGAGUAUGUCAUCGAGGUAUACUACGACGAAUUUAUCCAAGUACUCCAUGAAGACCGAGUUCAUUAACCGGUAGAAGGUAGCUGGGGCAUUGGUUAAACCGAAGGACAUAACGGUGUACUCAUAUUGGCCAUAACGAGUAACAAAGGCCAUUUUGGGAAUGUCCCCGUUUCUGAUUUUGAUUUGAUGGUAGCCCAACCUCAAAUCCAUCUUGGAGAAGACUGAGGAUCCAGCGAGCUGAUCAUACAGAUCGUUGAUCCUGGGAAGCGGAUACUUGUUCUUGAUGGUGACUAAGUUGACAGGUCGGUAAUCUACAACCAUUCGAUCCGUUCCAUCCUUCUUCUUGACGAAGAGGACGGGGCAAGCCCAAGGAGAGGAACUAGGACGGAUGAAACCCUUUUUCAAGGACUCAUCGAGUUGGUUCUUAAGCUCGGCUAGUUCUAAGGGUGCCAUCUUGUAGGGUCUUCUAGAAAUUGGAACGGUUCCUGGAACAAGGUCUAUCACAAACUCGACAUCCUUGUCAGGUGGAACACCUGGCAGUUCUUCUAGAAAGACAUCUGGAAAGUCUCGGACUACUAGAACAUCCUCAAGGUCUGGAAGGGGGUGGCAUUUAGGGAGUAAAGCUGGCGCUUGGCCACUCGAGUUAAGAAAUUGACUGUCUUGCCCGAUGGGUGAGUAAGUUGAAUGGUUCUAGUGGCACAAUCAAUCUUAGCAUAAUGAGCUGACAUCCAGUCCAUACCCAAGAUGAUGUUUAUGUCCGAGGACUUGAGAGCUAUUAAGGAUGCAAGGAAGACAAGUCUAUCGACAAGAAUUUCGUUCCCAUGGCUUACUCUAGAAGUUUGCCAUUUGGAACCCGGAGUUUGAAUUACCAUGGAAGUGGGCAUGUCACAGAAUGUCGUGUUAUGCAAUCGACCGCGGUUUGGUCCUACGCAUAGCUGGGGCUCGCGCGCAUCUAGUGGGGCAAGUGGGAGGAGCUGGGGUGGAGCGAACUCGCCGGAAUCGAGCUCGUGGCGGCGGCCGGAGCUCGGCUGUUGGUGGUUUUGCUGCUGCAGCGAGCUAGCGGGGAAACGGACGCUCUAGCGAGGCGCUACGAGGUGCGGUGAGUGCGUUAGGCACCCGCGCCUGACCAAAAGGUCACCGGAGGGACGCCGACAUCGAGCUCGCGCGGCGGCGUGCUACGGUGAGCGAGGUGGCGGCGUCUACGGCGAGCAAACGAAGCAGAGAAGAGGGGGGUUCAGUGGAGGAGCUCACGGCGGUUGCAGAACGCGUCUCAGCGGGCUCGGGGGAGGUCGGACGUCGUCGGGGCAUUGCCGGCGAUCUCGGCGGACCGAGGAAGAAGAAGGCGUCGGGGAGGCGCUUGGAGGCGUCCGGCGUCGCGUGAGUCGACGAGGAGGUCGAGGACGGCAGCGCGGAGCUAAUGGGCUUGUCGAAGGGGCGAGGGGGUGGCUCUGGUGACAACUACGGCGAACGGCGGCGAGGAUCGGGCUCGGCCAUCGCGGGAGAGGGUCAGGGAGACGAGGGGGAGAGUGAGGGAGGAAGAGAGGGGGACGUGGGGGUCGGCGUGGCACCCCUGGACGCCUCCAGGGCGUCGGCAGAAGCAGGAGGUGGCCGGCGUGUGGCCGCGGGCGCCGGUCACGCGCUCCUCGUCCUCCUGGCGGGAGGAGGAGGAUGACUAGCAAGGCCAGUCGGCUGGGCCGAGCCAGGUGGGCUGGGCCAGCACAGGUGAGGCCCAGGUGGUUUCCCUCUCUCUCUUUUUCUUAUUUGUUUCUGUUUUCUAUUUUUUUUGCAACUGUUGGGAUUUAUUAAAAUACUAAACGUUUCCAAAAAUCCUGAAAAUAAUUGUGGGCUCUGUUUAGAAUAUUUCCAACAGCAAACAUUUAUUUCCCUAAUUAUUUUAUAGCAUUUAAAUGCCCAAAAUCAAAUACUUAUGAUUUAAUUCAAUGAUCUUCUAUUGACCUAGAAAAUUGUGCACCAAUUUUGCUAGAGGUUCUAACCCAAGACAAAGAGGGUGAACUUUUUAGAAGGGCAUUUCAGGUUCAUUGAAAAUAAUUUUAGUAAACCCUAGUUGUUUCCAAGGGGGUGUGUUGGGAUUUCUGUCAUCCCCAUUUCAAACUUAAAAGGAAAUUAAACAUGAUGCACACUCUAAUGCUUGAACUAGCUAGGGUGUGACAUUUGAACAGGGAGGAGGAGACACGGCUUGCGUGGAUUUUUCGUUGCUUGCGUGCGUGGGUAUGACAGUUUUGCUGGUUCUUUCACCGGAUCGCAUGGGGGUGGAACCACGUAAUUAAGAAGAACGAAUCAUGUUUGGGGUGGAACGUACGCAGGGAAAACCAACAGCGCACGGGAGGGAGGCUCGACGAAGGGUUCGACGACGUAAGACGGGAAACGGAACGCUGCGUUUCUUUUACGUAUUAUCAAUUAAUUAUUAAUAAUAAUUAUUAUUAUUAGAGAAUUAGAGAUUAGAGAUAGAGAUUAGAGAUUAGAGAUUAUUUGUUUCCUGAAAAUCUAUUAUUUGUUUCCUAAAGCAAAUUGCAUUAAUGAGAGAGAUCCGUUGAUUUAGCUGAGGUAGGAAAUAAUAUAUUAUUUGUUUGCUAAAGCAAAUUGCAUUAAUGGGAGAGAUCCGUUGAUUUGGCUAAGGUAUGAAAGAAUAUAUUAUUUGUUUCCUAAAGCAAAUUGCAUUAAUGAGAGAGAUUCGUUUAUUUGGCUAAGGUAGGAAAGAAUCUAUUAUUUGUUUGCUAAAGCAAAUUGCAUUAAUGGGAGAGAUCCAUUAAUUUGGCUAAGGUAGGAAAAAAUCUAUUAUUUGUUUCCUAAAGCAAAUUGCAUUAAUGAGAGAGAUUUGUUGAUUUGGCUAAGGUAGGAAAGUUAGAUCCGUGAUCAUUUGUCAUUAGGAAAGUGUUGAAAAUAAACCAUACCGGACUACCAACUCUUUCAUUAGGGUUUUUUUCGCUGGUUAAUUUUCAUAGGUUUUUUUUCGCUGGAUUGUCUUGGGUGCGAUCGGAGGUUAGGCCCUGGAAUGCGUGAGGGCGGGUGGGGGCUUCGAUACGCGGUUUUUUUGGUUCGUGGCGGCUUAGUGUGAGGUGGGACGAGGUACCAAAAAAACCAUGGAAGGUGGGAUGAAAAAAAACCUGGAAGCGAAACUACCAACUGCUCCAUUAGGAGUAGAGAUGAGCUUCGAUUUUCUUCUACACCGAAAUACUUUAAAAUCCUAGUUGAGGCCGGAGGUUGCCUUCUAAUAUUUGGAACGAGGGUUAUGCCGCUCGGUACAUAGCAAUGGCCAUUGGAAGACAAUGGUAGUGGGAUCAAUCGAUGGUGGUAGCGCAUUACAUAUGCGUCACUUGUCGCAACAUAGAGGUUUUCUAUUUUUCCGUACAUUUGUUUAUUCAAAAUAUUUUAUCUCUUUAACCGUGCAUACAAAUCCCGAAGUGUUUUCACUGUUAGAAUUCUCGCGUUGAGAUCUUCGAACUAGAUUCCAUGUUGAUAGGUUUCGAUAAACUUAAAAAAACCCGGAAGGAUUUUAUUUUUUUCAUUUUUUUCCUUUUCGCGAGGGGCACAAUGGUACCUCUCACGACCGAAUUUGUGCCUCCACGAGAAGCAAAUCUAUGCCUCUCGUGGAAAAAAUUGUGUUUUUUGCCUUUUCCGAGUUGCACAACCAUGCCUUUAGCAAAAACAAAUCUGUGUUCCUCACGAAAGAAGAAAAAAAAUGUGUUUUUUCCUUUUCUGAGGCACAGCCUCUGGCAAAAGCAAAUAUGUGCCUCCACGAAAAGGAAACUAUACCUCUCACGAAAGAAAAAAAACGUGUUUUCCCUGUGCCUCCACGAGAAGUAAAUAUGUGUCUAUCGUGAAAAGAAAAACGUGCUUUCCGGGCAAAAAAAUUGCAAAUUAUUUUUUGUCAAAAAACCUAGGAAAACCGAAACGCCAAAAAAACAUCCAAAACCCGAAAACACGUAGAGAAAAAUAAAAAACCGAAAUCGUGAGGAGCACCCAGUAUGCGACAAGUGGCUAGUUGCUCUCGGGUGCAUCAAGUGUUCGGGAACUAUCGGGAUUGGCUUCGAUUCCCCGCUGAGACACGAAGAACCCGAGAAGCUUGCCGGAGGGGACUCCAAACACACACUUCUCGGGGUUGAGCUUGAGGCUGAUCUUGCGCAGAUUUGCAAAGGUCUCUUCUAAAUCUUGAAUCAGAGUUGCCUUGUCCUUGCUCUUGACCACUAUGUCAUCCAUGUAGGCUUCCACAUUUCUGUGUAUUUGUGGCUCAAGAGCGACAUGGACUACCCUUGCAAAUGUUGAACCGGCAUUUUUUAAACCGAAAGGCAUUCGUAUGAAACAGUACGUGCCACAUGGAGUGAUGAAUGCGGUCUUCUCCUCAUCCUCUUCUGCCAUGAAGAUCUGAUGGUAUCCUGAGUAUGCGUCAAGAAAUGAAAGCAAGUCACAUCCGGCCUGGAGUCAACAAUCUGGUCAAUGCGCGGCAAAGGAAAUGGGUCUUUGGGACAAGCUUUGUUAACAUCGGUAAAGUCGAUACAAAGUCUCCAUUUCCCGUUUGCCUUGCGCACGACUACAAGAUUGGCCAACCACGUAGGAUGGAGCACUCCUCUGACAAGGCCUGCUGCUUCCAACUUAUUGAUCUCUUCUGCGAUGAAUUCUUGGUGCUCCACUGCUUGCUUCCUGACCUUCUGCUUGACGGGCCGCGCAUGAGGACAAACGGCAAGAUGGUGCUCAAUUACUUUCCUAGGUACACCGGGGAUGUCAGACGGUUGCCACGCAAACACGUCGACGUUCGCCCGCAGGAAAGCAAUGAGCGCGCUUUCCUAUUUAGGGUCGAGAGUGGCACUAAUGGUGAAGGUACCACCAGUGCCGUCCUCCUUGGCGGACACCUUCUUGGUCUCUGGCCGAGCUGCCAUUGUCUUCUUACACUUGCCGGUGGAGCUCGAUGGUGCGUUCUCGAUGGCAGCGCAGCACUCCGAAGAGGUGCGCUUGCCGGAGUGGGCAUCAGAACUCUUGCCGGACUUGGUCUUCUUCUCCCCCCGGGAGCUUCAACGGCAGGUGACUUGCGAUCUGUUGCGGCUGCCGCUUCCCGGUAGAUCUUGUCGGCGCAGAUAAGAGCGUCCUUCUUGUCGCCAGGGACAGAGAUGACGCUUAUCGGGCCUGGCAUCUUCAGCAUGUUGUAUGCGUAGUGAGAGGCUGCCAUGAACUUGGUGAGUGCUGGACGGCCGAGUAUCCCAUUGUAAGGCAAUGGAAAAUCGGCAACGUCAAAAGUGACCCUCUCAGUCCUGAAGUUCACCUCGCUGCCAAAUGUUACUGGCAACGUGACCUUCCCCUUCGGCUUGCUCCUUCCUGGGUUGAUUCCUUGGAAUGUGCCGGUCUCUUCAAGCUCGCUGUCAGGGAUCUGGAGUUUCUGGAGUACAGCGGAGGAGAUCAAGUUCAAGCUGGGCCCGCCGUCAACUAGCAUCUUAGUGACCUUGAGGUUGCGGAUAGUUGGUGAAACCAACAUCAGCAAGCACCCGACCGCAGUUGUGCGAUCAGGGUGGUCCUCAAUAUCAAAGAUGAUAGGCGUGCUGGACCAUUUCAGAAGCUUGUGUGACUCAACAGGUGGUUCCGCCGCAUUGACUUCCCGCACCCACUGUUUGAGUUGGUGGUGCGAAGUAUGCAGAGAAGCACCACCGUCAACGCACAAGACCUCUGUGGGUUUCUGGAACUCCUGCUCACUGGUCUCGACACCAUCCAUGUCUUUGUCGUCGUCGUCAUCUUCAUCCUUGUCGCGGCCGCGGGGAGGUCUGUCUCCUUGCCGCUGCUUGGCCUUGCCGCGGCGUCCUCCCCGACCGGCGCGCUUCUUGCCGGAUUCUCCAGCGCCUCCUUGGGCCCUCUCCUUGUCGCGUCGCUCAUAUUCAGCCUUUUGCUGCUGGACAAGCUGCUCGACCUUCUUGCAGCUAUGGAGGUCAUGGCCCUUGGUGCGGUGGAUCUUGCAGUACUGCUUGUCGGUGCCGUCCUGCUUGUCAGCGACCGCCACAGUCUGGCAGUUGGUGCAUGCGGCAAUCUCCUUGCCGGAGCUAUCAGCUUUGGCUUUCUUGGCGCCACCCUCGUUGCCGGACUGCUCAAUGACUAGCACAUCUUUGCCUUUCUUCUUCCUGUUGUUCCGCCGCCGGUUUUUCUUUGCCGGGGCAGCAUCCUCGCUGUCAGAUCCUCCUGCUCCUGUAUUCUCUCCGGGGAGUUUCCUCCCUUCGUCAGCAUGUGCACACUUGUCGGCCAGGGCAUACAGCUCACUGACGUCUCUGAUCUUGCACAUCUCCAUCUCCUCCCGCAUCCUGCGGUUACGCACGUUUUGAUGGAACACGCUGAUGACCGCGGCAGGGUGGACAUCUGGGAUGUUAUGCUGUACACGGCUGAAUCUCUGAAUGUACUUGCACAGGGGCUCUCCUUCCUUCUGGGCGAGCAGAUGAAGGUCACUCUCUUGGCCAUGAGGUUUGUGGCCGCCUGUAAAGGCGCCGACAAACUGAUGGCAUAGGUUUGCCCAGGAGGAUAUGGAGUUGUCCGGCAAGUGCAUGAGCCAGGACCUGACGUUGGGCUUGAGCACCAGCGGGAAGUAGUUGGCAAGGAUCUUGUCGUCCCGCCCCCCGGCAACCUGCACCGCGAUGGUGUAGAUGCUGAGGAACUCCGACGGAUGCGACUUGCCGUCGUACUUUUCUGGUACAUCUGGCUUGAAAUUCUUCGUGCUGGUCCACUGGACUUGCCGCAGCACACGAGUAAACACAGGGCAACCUACCGCGUACGGCAAGUUGCCUGGUUCCCCUGGCGCAUGCAUGUCGACAGAGGGCCCAGCGCGCUGGUCUGAUUGACGUCGCGCUUCUCUUCGACGCUCGAUGCGAGUACGAGCGUCUUCUUGCUGUCGUUCGUGAAGAACUUGGCGCUGAUCGCGACGAGCUCGUGGAUCUGAUGACGCGGUGGAGUCGCUGUUGAGGUGGAUCCGGCGAGUCGGCGAUCUUGGCCUUCGGGGCGGAGAGUGCACAGUGGUUGCACCCCCACAUUUCUUGUCGCCACCGGCUCGUGCUCGGCUGACUUGCCGCGGCUGCGACGUGCUCGGCUGCCGUUGAGUGUCGCCGUUGGCGAAGCCGAUGAGACUCUGAAUGGUGGCCCUCCAGUCGUCGAUCUUGUCUGCCGUUGGAGGGUGGUCCAGGAGCAGUUGAGCUCGCGCCAAAGCUUCUGCUGUAGUGACGGGUGGCGGUGGCGAACGGUGCUAGGAGCGAGAUAUGCUCGGACUUCUAACUAUGUUAGAAGGAGCAGUAUCCCAUCCAGGCGACCGUGCCUCGCUCGUGCCAGCAUGUUGGCGUGCAUGCUGGUCUUGAGCACUCCGAGAUCCACCAGCUCGAUCUUGGUCCAGCAAACGCAUGGUACCAUGAGUACCAUGACGCUGCCGGUCCCGCGCCUGCUGAGAUGGGUGCGGUGCAUGUAUGGACGCCGAGGUCUUGGAGUGCGCCCGGUCGUUGUGGGAGCCGGCUACGCCGCCGAUGGGAAGCGCAGCCUUGUCCUUGGACCUGGCAGCACCGUGAGCUCCCUCGUCGACGCCCGUUCUUCCGCCGGCGUCUGCCCCAUCAGCCGUUUGCUCCAGCGGUGGUGGGUUCGGUGCGGACGGGGCAGCCGCCUCCGAAGCCUUCUUCUUCGGCGGCAUGUCGAUGAAGAUGAUGAAGAUCUAGCUCGUGUGAAUGCCGGAUCUGGUUCACACAACCUCGACUCCCCUACCUGGCGCGCCAAAGAUGUCGGGGGACUAAUCCACGAGCACCUAUGGGACCGGCGGACCGAGUCCCUUUCGGUUCGGCGGGGGUGAGGGUCGCACGAAGAGCAGAUCGAGGCGAAGCACACGAACAGUUUACCCAGGUUCAGGCCGCACGGAUGCGUAAAACCCUACUCCUACUUUGUGGUUUGUAUUGAGUUCUUGCUCGGGAGCGCGGAGUGCUAUAGUACACCCUAGCAGCUAACGAGACCGAGCGUGAGUGUUCUCUUCCUCCCCCCCCCCUCUACGUUGCGCAUGGGCCUCCUUUUAUAUGCUCAAGGGGUCACCGACAGGUGGCAACGUAGACAAGGGUAAAAAUGGAAAGGUGUUGCGGUAGGUACAUCUACCUACUACAGUGUAUCAUACCUAACCCUGACGGCAGGGGACCAGGGCAUUAAAUGCCCGUCUGCGUCGCCUAAAUAGUGCAAAAGGGACAGUCAGGGACGCCACCGCUCGCCACGAUGGCAAUCUUGUCAGCGCCGCUUGCCACCGCGCACCGCUAGCUGCACAGCCUCCCGCCACGUACGCCUGGAAGGGUCCCAGAGCGACACGUUGGUGGAUGUGCUAGAGCGCGGGCACAGAGUGGUGGCUUGCCGCGGCAAGCGCCUUGCCGCGGUCGUUGUCUUGUCGCGUCCGGGAGCUUGUCGCUCACCGGGCCUUGCCGGGACGCGUGGCGCGUCGCGGCAAGUUCCUUGAGAUGCCUUGGUUGGCCUUCCCGGCAAGCUCCUCUUGCCGGGGUCUUGUCUCCUUGGCUUGGAUACUUUGUCCUUGAAUGGCUCCAAAGGAACCACGGAGGACCUUGGCGGUCACCCAGCAAGCCUUGCCGCGGGAUGCUGCGACUGCCUGUGCACAAGUUCGGGAUACUAGGAUACCCCUACUCUAGUACACCGUCAGGAACAUAGUAAUUUCAAAAAAUUCCUACGCACACGCAAGAUCAUGGUGAUGCAUAGCAACGAGAGGGGAGAGUGUUGUCCACGUACCCUCGUAGACCGAAAGAGGAAGCGUUAGCACAACGUGGUUGAUGUAGUCGUACUUUUUCACGAUCCGACCGAUCAAGUACCGAACGCACGGCACCUCCGAGUUCAGCACACGUUCAGCCCGAUGACGUCCCUCGAACUCCGAUCCAGCCGAGUGUUUCAGGGAGAGUUUCGUCAGCACGAUGGCGUGGUGAUGAUGAUGAUGUUCUACCGACGCAGGGCUUCGCCUAAGCACCGCUACAGUAUUAUCGAGGUGGACUAUGGUGGAGGGGGGCACCGCACACGGCUAAAAGAUCAAACGAUCAAUUGUAGUGUCUCUAGGGUGCCCCCCUGCCCCCGUAUAUAAAGGAGCAACGGGGGAGGUGCGGCCGGCCAGGAGGGGCGCGCCAGGAGGAGUCCUACUCCCACCGGGAGUAGGACUCCCUCCCUUUUCCUUGUUGGAUUAGGAGUGGAGGGGGAAAGAGGAGGGAGAGAGGAAGGAAGGGGGGGCACCGCCCCCCUCUCCUUGUCCUAUUCGGACUAGGGGGGAGGGGCGCGCGGCCCUAUCCUGGCCGCCUCUCCUCUUCUCCACAAAGGCCCACUAUGGCCCAUUAAGCCCCCAAGGGGUUUCGGUAACCCCUCGGUACUCCGGUAAAAUUCCGAUUUCACCCGGAACACUUCCGAUAUCCAAAUAUAGGCUUCCAAUAUAUCAAUCUUCAUGUCUCGACCAUUUCAAAACUCCUCGUCAUGUUCGUGAUCACAUCCGGGACUCCGAACAACCUUUGGUACAUCAAAAAUCAUAAACUCAUAAUAUAACUGUCAUUGAAACUUUAAGCUUGCGGACCCUACGGGUUUGAGAACUAUGUAGACAUGACCGAGACAUGUCUCCGAUCAAUAACCAAUAGUGGAACCUGGAUGCUCAUAUUGGCUCCCACAUAUUCUACGAAGAUCUUUAUCGGUCAGACCGCAUAACAUCAUACGUUGUUCCCUUUGUCAUCGGUAUGUUACUUGCCCGAGAUUCGAUCGUCGGUAUCUCAAUACCUAGUUUAAUCUCAUUACCGGCAAGUCUCUUAACUCGUUCCGUAAUACAUCAUCCCGCAACUAACUCAGUAGUUGCAAUGCUUGCAAGGCUUAAGUGAUGUGCAUUACUGAGAGGGCCUAGAGAUACCUCUCCGACAAUCGGAGUGACAAAUCCUAAUCUCGAAAUACACCAACCCAACAAGUACCUUCGGAGACACCUAUAGAGCACCUUUAUAAUCACCCAGUUAUGUUGUGACAUUUGGUAGCACACAAACUAUUCCUCCGGUAAACGGGAGUUGCAUAAUCUCAUAGUCAUAGGAACAUGUAUAAGUCAUGAAGAAAGCAAUAGCAACAAACUAAACGAUCAAGUGCUAAGCUAACGGAAUGGGUCAUGUCAAUCACAUGAUUCUCCUAAUGAUGUGAUCCCGUUAAUCAAAUGACAACUCAUGUCUAUGGUUAGGAAACAUAACCAUCUUUGAUUAACGAGCUAGUCAAGUAGAGGCAUACUAGUGACACUCUGUUUGUUUAUGUAUUCACACAUGUAUCAUGUUUCUGGUUAAUACAAUUAUAGGAUGAAUAAUAAACAUUUAUCAUGAUAUAAGGAAAUAAAUAAUUACUUUAUUAUUGCCUCUAGGGCAUAUUUCCUUCAGUCUCCCACUUGCAGUAGAGUCAAUAAUCUAGAUUACACAGUAAUGAUUCUAACACCCAUGGAGUCUUGGUGCUGAUCAUGUUUUGCUCGUAGAAGAGGCUUAAUCAACGGGUCUGCAACAUUCAGAUCCGUAUGUAUCUUGCAAAUUUCUAUGUCGCCCACCUGGACUAGAUCCUGGAUGGAAUUGAAGCGUCUCUUGAUGUGCUUGGUUCUCUUGUGAAAUCUAGAUUCCUUCGCCAAGGCAAUUGCACCAGUAUUGUCACAAAAGAUUUUCAUUGGACCCGAUGCACUAGGUAUGACACCUAGAUCGGAUAUGAACUUCAUCCAGACUCCUUCAUUUGCUUCUUCCAAAGCAGCAAUGUACUUUGCUUCACACGUAGAUCCCGCCACGACGCUUUGUUUAGAACUGCACCAACUGACAGCUCCACCGUUCAAUGUAAAGAUGUAUCCGGUUUGCGAUUUAGAAUCGUCCGGAUCAGUGUCAAAGCUUGCAUUGAGGUAACCAUUUACGACUAGCUCUUUGUCACCUCCAUAAAUGAGAAACAUAUCCUUAGUCCUUUCAGGUAUUUCAGGAUGUUCUUAACCGCUAUCCAGUGAUCCACUCCUGGAUUACUUUGGUACCUCCCUGCUAGACUUAUAGCAAGGCACACAUCAGGUCUGGUACACAAUAUUGCAUACAUGAUAGAGCCUAUGGCUGAAGCAUAGGGAACAUCUUUCAUCUUCUCUCUAUCUUCUGCAGUGGUCGGGCAUUGAGUCUUACUCAACUUCACACCUUGUAACACAGGCAAGAACCCUUUCUUUGCUUGAUCCAUUUUGAACUUCUUCAAAACUUUGUCAAGGUAUGUGCUUUGUGAAAGUCCAAUUAAGUGUCUUGAUCUAUCUCUAUAGAUCUUGAUGCCCAAUAUAUAAGCAGCUUCACCAAGGUCUUUCAUUGAAAAACUUUUAUUCAAGUAUCCCUUUAUGCUAACCAGAAAUUCUAUAUCAUUUCCAAUCAACAAUAUGUCAUCCACAUAUAAUAUCAGAAAUGCUACAGAGCUCCCACUCACUUUCUUGUAAAUACAUGCUUCUCCAAAAGUCUGUACAAAACCAAAUGCUUUGAUCACACUAUCAAAGCGUUUAUUCCAACUCCGAGAGGCUUGCACCAGUCCAUAAAUGGAUCGCUAGAGCUUGCACACUUUGUUAGCUCCCUUUGGAUCGACAAAACCUUCUGGUUGCAUCGUAUACAACUCUUCUUCCAGAUAUCCAUACAGGAAUGCAAUUUUGACAUCCAUUUGCCAAAUUUCAUAAUCAUAAAAUGCGGCAAUUGCUAACAUGAUUCGGACAGACUUAAGCAUCGCUAUGGGUGAGAAAGUCUCAUCGUAGUCAAUCCCUUGAACUUGUCGAAAAUCUUUUGCAACAAGUCGAGCUUUAUAGACAGUAACAUACCGUCAAUGUCAGUCUUUUUCUUGAAGAUCCAUUUAUUCUCAAUGGCUUGCCGAUCAUCGGGAAAGUCAACCAAAGUCCACACUUUGUUCUCAUACAUGGAUCCCAUCUCAGAUUUCUUGGCCUCAAGCCAUUUUGCAGAAUCUGGGCUCACCAUCGCUUCUUGAUAGUUCGUAGGUUCAUCAUGGUCUAGUAACAUAACCUCCAGAACAGAAUUACCGUACCACUCUGGUGCGGAUCUUACUCUGGUUGACCUACGAGGUUCAGUAACAACUUGAUCUGAAGUUCCAUGAUCAUCAUCAUUAACUUCCUCACUGAUUGGUGUAGGCAUCACAGGAACCGGUUUCUGUGAUAAAGUACUUUCCAAUAAGGGAGCAGGUACAGUUACCUCAUCAAGUUCUACUUUCCUCCCACUCACUUCUUUCGAGAGAAACUCCUUCUCUAGAAAGGAUCCAUUCUUAGCAACGAAUGUCUUGCCUUCGGAUCUGUGAUAGAAGGUGUACCCAAUAGUCUCCUUUGGGUAUCCUAUGAAGACACAUUUCUCCGAUUUGGGUUCGAGCUUAUUAGGUUGAAGCUUUUUCACAUAAGCAUCGCAGCCCCAAACUUUAAGAAAUGACAACUUUGGUUUCUUGCCAAACCACAGUUCAUAAGGCGUCAUCUCAACGGAUUUCGAUGGUGCCCUAUUUAACGUGAAUGCAGCCGUCUCUAAAGUAUAACCCCAAAACGAUAGCGGUAAAUCAGUAAGAGACAUCAUAGAUCGCACCAUAUCUAGUAAAGUACAAUUACGACGUUUGGACACACCAUUACGCUAUGUUGUUCCGGGUGGCGUGAGUUGCGAAACUAUUCCGCAUUGUUUCAAAUGUAGACCAAACUCGUAACUCAAAUAUUCUCCUCCACGAUCAGAUCGUAGAAACUUUAUUUUCUUGUUACGAUGAUUUUCAACUUCACUCUGAAAUUCUUUGAACUUUUCAAAUGUCUCAGACUUAUGUUUCAUUAAGUAGAUAUACCCAUAUCUGCUUAAAUCAUAUGUGAAGGUGAGAAAAUAGCGAUACCCGCCGCGAGCCUCAACAUUCAUCAGACCACAUACAUCUGUAUGUAUGAUUUCUAACAAAUCUGUUGCUCUCUCCAUAGUUCCGGAGAACGGCGUUUUAGUCAUCUUGCCCAUAAGGCACGGUUCGCAAGUACCAAGUGAUUCAUAAUCAAGUGGUUCCAAAAGUCCAUCAGUAUGGAGUUUCUUCAUGUGCUUUACAUCGAUAUGACCUAAACGGCAGUGCCACAAAUAAGUUGCACUAUCAUUAUCAACUCUGCAUCUUUUGGCUUCAACAUUAUGAAUAUGUGUAUCACUACUAUUGAGAUUCAUCAAAAAUAGACCACUCUUUAAGGGUGCAUGACCAUAAAAGAUAUUACUCAUAUAAAUAGAACAACAAUUAUUCUCUGAUUUAAAUGAAUAAUUGUCUCGCAUCAAACAAGAUCCAGAUAUAAUGUUCAUGCUCAACGCUGGCACGAAAUAACAAUUAUUUAGGUCUAAUAUUAAUCCCGAAGGUAGAUGUAGAGGUAGCGUGCCGACGGCGAUCACAUCGACUUUGGAACCGUCUCCCACGCGCAUCGUCACCUCGUCCUUAGCCAGUGUCCGCUUGAUCUGUAGUCACUGUUUCGAGUUGCAAAUAUUAGCAACAUAACCAAUAUCAAAUACCCAGGUGCUACUGCGAGCUCUGGUAAGGUACACAUCAAUAACAUGUAUAUCACAUAUACCUUUGUUCACCUUGCCAUCCUUCUUAUCCGCCAAAUACUUGGGGCAGUUCCGCUUCUAGUGACCAGUCUGCUUGCAGUAGAAGCACUCAGUCUCAGGCUUAGGUCCAGACUUGGGUUUCUUCUCUUGAGCAGCAACUUGCUUGUUGUUCUUCUUGAAGUUCCCCUUCUUCUUCCCUUUGCCCUUUUUCUUGAAACUGGUGGUCUUAUUGACCAUCCACACUUGAUGCUCCUUCUUGAUUUCUACCUCCACAGUCUUUAGCAUUGCGAAGAUCUCAGGAAUUGUCUUAUCCAUCCCUUGCAUGUUAUAGUUCAUCACAAAGCUCUUGUAGCUUGGUGGCAGUUAUUGAAGAAUUCUAUCAAUGACGCUAUCAUCCAGAAGAUUAACUCCCAGUUGAAUCAAGUGAUUGCAGUACCCAGACAUCUUGAGUAUAUGCUCACUGACAGAACUAUUCUCCUCCAUCUUGCAGCUAUCAAACUUAUUGGAGACUUCAUAUCUCUCAAUCCAGGCAUUCUUUUGAAAUAUUAACUUCAAUUCCUGGAACAUCUCAUAUGCUCCAUGACGUUCAAAACGUCGUUGAAGUACCGGUUCUAAGCCGUAAAGCAUGGCACACUGAACUAUCAAGUAGUCAUCAACAUGUGACUGCCAGGUAUUCAAAAUGUCUGCAGUUGCUGGCACAGGUGGUACACCUAGCGGUGCUUCCAGGAUGUAACUCUUCUGUGCAGCAAUGAGGAUAAUCCUCAAGUUACGGACCCAGUCCGUGUAAUUGCUACCAUCAUCUUUCAACUUUGCUUUCUCAAGGAACGCAUUAAAAUUCAACGGAACAACAGCACGGGCCAUCUAUCUACAAUCAACAUAGACAAGCAAGAUACUAUCAGGUACUAAGUUCAUGAUAAAUUUAAGUUCAAUUAAUCAUAUACUUAAGAACUCCCACUUAGAUAGACAUCCCUCUAAUCCUAUAAGUGAUCACGUAAUCCAAAUCAACUAAACCAUAACCGAUCAUCACGUGAAAUGGAGUAGCUUUCAAUGGUGAACAUCACUAUGUUGAUCAUAUCUACUAUCUGAUUCACGCUUGACCUUUCGGUCUCAGUGUUCCAAGGCCAUAUCUGCAUAUGCUAGGCUCGUCAAGUUUAACCUGAGUAUUUUGCAUGUGCAAAACUGGCUUGCACCCGUUGUAGAUGGACGUAGAGCUUAUCACACCUGAUCAUCACGUGGUGUCUGGGCACGACGAACUUUGGCAACGGUGCAUACAUAGGGAGAACACUUUUAUCUUGAAAUUUAGUGAGAGGUCAUCUUAUAAUGCUACCGUCAAUCAAAGCAAGAUAAGAUGCAUAAAAGAUAAACAUCACAUGCAAUCAAUAUAAGUGAUAUGAUAUGGCCAUCAUCAUCUUCUGCUUGUGAUCUCCAUCUCCGAAGCACCGUCAUGAUCACCAUCGUCACCGGCGCGACACCUUGAUCUCCAUCAUAGCAUCGUUGUCGUCUCGCCAAUCUUAUGCUUCUACGACUAUCGCUACCGCUUAGUGAUAAAGUAAAGCACUACAAGGCGAUUGAAUUGCAUACAAUAAAGCAACAACCAUAUGGCUCCUGCCAGUUGUCGAUAACUCGGUUACAGAACACGAUCAUCUCAUACAAUAAAAUUUAGCAUCAUGCUUUGACCAUAUCCCAUCACAACAUGCCCUGCAAAAACAAGUUAGACGUCCUCUACUUUGUUGUUGCAAGUUUUACGUGGCUGCUACGGGUUGAGCAAGAACCGUUCUUACCUACGCAUCAAAACCACAACGAUAGUUUGUCAAGUUGGUGUUGUUUUAACCUUCGCAAGGACCGGGCGUAGCCACACUUGGUUCAACUAAAGUUGGAGAAACUGACACCCGCCAGCCCCCUAUGUGCAAAGCACGUCGGUAGAACCAGUCUCGCGUAAGCGUACGCGUAAUGUCGGUCCAGGCCGCUUCAUCCAACAAUACCGCCGAACCAAAGUAUGGCAUGCUGGUAAGCAGUAUGAAUUAUAUCGCCCACAACUCACUUGUGUUCUACUCGUGCAUAUAACAUCAACGCAUAAAAUCAGGCUCAGAUGCCACUAUUGGGGAACAUAUUAAUUUCAAAAAAAUUCCAAUGCACACGCAAGAUCAUGGUGAUGCAUAGCAACGAGAGGGGAGAGUGUUGUCCACGUACCCUCGUAGACCGAAAGCGGAAGCGUUAGCACAACGCGGUUGAUGUAGUCGUACGCCAUCACGAUCCGACCGAUCAAGUACCGAACGCACGGCACCUCCGAGUUCAGCACACGUUCAGCCCGAUGACGUCCCUCGAACUCCGAUCCAGCCGAGUGUUUGAGGGAGAGUUUCAUUAGCACCAUGGAGUGGUGAUGAUGAUGAUAUUCUACCGACGCAGGGCUUCGCCUAAGCACCGCUACAGUAUUAUCGAGGUGGACUAUGGUGGAGGGGGGCACCGCACACGGCUAAAAGAUCAAACGAUCAAUUGUUGUGUAUCUAGGGUGCCCCCUGCCCCGUAUAUAAAAGAGCAAGGGGGGGAUGCGGCCGGCCAGGAGGGGCACGCCAGGAGGAGUCCUACUCCCACCGGGAGUAGGACUCCCUCCCUUUUCCUUGUUGGAUUAGGAGUGGAGGGGGAAAGAGGAGGGAGAGAGGAAGGAAAGGGGGGCGCCGCCCCCCUCUCCUUGUCCUAUUCGGACUAGGGGGGAGGGGCGCGCGGCCCUGCCCUGGCCGCCUCUCCUCUUCUCCACAAAGGCCCACUAUGGCCCAUUCAGCCCCCGGGGGGUUCCGGUAACCCCUUGGUACUCCGAUAAAAUCCCGAUUUCACCCGGAACACUUCCGAUAUCCAAAUAUAGGCUUCCAAUAUAUCAGUCUUCAUGUAUCAACCAUUUUGAGACUCCUCGUCAUGUCCGUGAUCACAUCCGGGACUCCGAACAACCUUCGGUACAUCAAAAAUCAUAAACUCAUAAUAUAACUGUCAUUGAAACUUUAAGCGUGCGGACCCUACGGGUUCGAGAACUAUGUAGACAUUACCGAGACACGUCUCCGGUCAAUGACCAAUAGCGGAACCUGGAUGCUCAUAUUGGCUCCCACAUAUUCUACGAAGAUCUUUAUCGGUCAGACCGCAUAACAACAUACGUUGUUUCCUUUGUCAUCGGUAUGUUACUUGCCCGAGAUUCGAUCGUCGGUGUCUCAAUACCUAGUUUAAUCUCAUUACCGGCAAGUCUCAUUACUUGUUUCGUAAUACAUCAUCCCGCAACUAACUCAUUAGUUGCAAUGCUUGCAAGGCUUAAGUGAUGUGCAUUACCGAGAGGGCCCAGAGAUACCUCUCCGACAAUCGGAGUGACAAAUCCUAAUCUCGAAAUAUGCCAACCCAGCAAGUACCUUCGGAGACACCUGUAGAGCACCUUUAUAAUCACCCAGUUACAUUGUGAUGUUUGGUAGCACACAAAGUGUUCCUCGGGUAAACGGGAGUUGCAUAAUCUCAUAGUCAUAGGAACAUGUUUAAGUCAUGAAAAAAGCAAUGGCAACAAACUAAACGAUCAAGUGCUAAGCUAACAAAAUGGGUCAUGUCAAUCACAUCAUUCUCCUAAUUAUGUGAUCCCGUUAAUCAAAUGACAACUCAUGUCUAUGGUUAGGAAACAUAACCAUCUUUGAUUAACGAGCUAGUCAAGUAGAGCCAUACUAGUGAUACUCUGUUUGUUUAUGUAUUCACACAUGUAUCAUGUUUCCGGUUAAUACAAUUCUAGCAUGACUAAUAAACAUUUAUCAUGAUAUAAGGAAAUAAAUAAUAACUUUAUUAUUGCCUCUAGGGCAUAUUUUCUUCAUCAAGUUCAUCUGUCUUAGCAAUGAAUAGUCUUGAAAAUAGAACAUACGGGUGGCCGGCCAUGAAGCCCUUCGUGCGCCUCUAUAUCUAUGGCGAGACGAUUAUUUUCUACAUGGUUUCCAUCCGGUUAUAUAUAUUUAAUAUGAUAACUAUUGCAAAAACACAAAAAAUAUUGCAAAAAUGGUAAUCCAAAAAUUGAAAAAUGUUCAUUGAUUUUAACAGAAAUAUUCACAACUCUGAAAAUGUUCAUGAAUUUUGAAAAAGAUGUUGAUGAGUUUAAAAAUACUCAAGAAAGUAAAAACAUUGUUUUUUUCUUAAGAAAGCAAAAGAGAGAAGAAAAAUAAAAGACCAUUAGAGAACAUAGAAUAGAAGAAAAAAAACCCAAAGAAAUCGUUCCCAUGUGAAAACUGACAUCACGAUACUACCUCCGUCCUUGUUUAUUACUCCCCUCGUAUUUUGGGUCAAACUUUGAUCUUCAAUUUAACUGGCAAAAGGUAAGUUGUAUACAACAAAAAUAAAACAUGGGAAAUUUUCUUUCAAAUAUGAAUCCAAGUAAAUUUUAUGACAUACAACUUAUAUUUUGCUAAAUUUGACACAAGAAACAAAGGGCCCGAUAAACCGGGACAGAGGUAGUACAUGAUAAGAUGAAGUGCCCCAACAUACUGAGUAUUAUAAACCCAGAGAAAAGUGAAAUUCCUUUUGGCUCCAAGGCUUAUCUACUCCCAAAAUCAUAUAUAUCAAUACCAAUAUAUAAACAUACAUAAAGGGACAGAUGCAACUAAUCUUAACCAUCAAACCAGCUCAAUCAAAUGACCCAGACUGCCCGACAAGUGCUCGACAUGUCUAGCAUGAAACUAAUAUCAUAUUAGAUGUCACUAUCGACACUAAUCACAUAAUUAACACGCAUAAUAUCCUACAUAAUAUUCACAUGCAAUUAAUAUACUACCUAAUAUCAACGUGCAUUGCACCUACACAUUUACUAGUUUCAAGAAACACAGUAACACAACUUGUAGCGUGAAAACCGACAACAUGAUGUGGGACUACACGAAGGCUGGCAAACACAACAACUGGUAUGUGGUUUGUAUGAGAACACUACUAUAAUAUUCUUUGCUAGGAGCGAAGAAUAGAAAUUCACUGAUACUAAUGCUUAGAAUAUCACGGCAAAUAUUAUUACCUACAAGAAUCAAUUGUGUGUAAUAUAUAUAUAUAUAUAUAUAUAUAUAUAUAUAUAUAUAUAUAUAUAUAUAUAUAUAUAUAUAGGACUCCUCUUCUGUACUCUUGGGAGUAUGUACUCCCAUUCUCAAUAUACCUCAUAUACGCAUUAAUUAUACCUCUUUAUUAUUCUCAAUAUACUUCAUUAAAUAUUCUAAGAUACCCCAAUACGAGUUUUGUUGAAAAAAUAUCAUCUGCGAUGUACUUUUUGUAAUAUACCUUUUUCACGUACAAACACAUCAGUAUAUACGUAAACAUUUAAAAAUAUGUAGACUCGCAUGAAUUUUUUCUUGGAACUCAUUUUGGGGUAUCUAAUAAUUACUAAUGAAGUAUAUUAAAAAUAAUAAAGUGGUAUAAAAGAUUCAUCUAUGUGGUAUAUGAGAAGCGGGAGUACGUACUCCCAGAAGUACACAACCAUUUUCCUAUAUAUCUAAUAAUUAGAACAACACUAUUCUAAUCCUGGGAUUAGAAUAACUAUUUGGAUCACAGUCAGCCCUAUAAGGACCCGAUCCCAUGUUCCCAAGAUCCAGAAAACCCAAAAAAGAAACCUGGCCGGUCCAUCAAACCACUCAGACCGGCCCACUCCCCACCUCAUGACCUUCCCAACCACCCCCACCUCCCACAUCACUCUGCACAAAUCCUCCCGCUGCCGGCAGCACCCACCGCCGCCCACCGCCGGCACGAGCGCGCCACCCGCCGCCGCCCACCGCCCGCCCCAGCGCGCCNNNNNNNNNNNNNNNNNNNNNNNNNNNNNNNNNNNNNNNNNNNNNNNNNNNNNNNNNNNNNNNNNNNNNNNNNNNNNNNNNNNNNNNNNNNNNNNNNNNNNNNNNNNNNNNNNNNNNNNNNNNNNNNNNNNNNNNNNNNNNNNNNNNNNNNNNNNNNNNNNNNNNNNNNNNNNNNNNNNNNNNNNNNNNNNNNNNNNNNNNNNNNNNNNNNNNNNNNNNNNNNNNNNNNNNNNNNNNNNNNNNNNNNNNNNNNNNNNNNNNNNNNNNNNNNNNNNNNNNNNNNNNNNNNNNNNNNNNNNNNNNNNNNNNNNNNNNNNNNNNNNNNNNNNNNNNNNNNNNNNNNNNNNNNNNNNNNNNNNNNNNNNNNNNNNNNNNNNNNNNNNNNNNNNNNNNNNNNNNNNNNNNNNNNNNNNNNNNNNNNNNNNNNNNNNNNNNNNNNNNNNNNNNNNNNNNNNNNNNNNNNNNNNNNNNNNNNNNNNNNNNNNNNNNNNNNNNNNNNNNNNNNNNNNNNNNNNNNNNNNNNNNNNNNNNNNNNNNNNNNNNNNNNNNNNNNNNNNNNNNNNNNNNNNNNNNNNNNNNNNNNNNNNNNNNNNNNNNNNNNNNNNNNNNNNNNNNNNNNNNNNNNNNNNNNNNNNNNNNNNNNNNNNNNNNNNNNNNNNNNNNNNNNNNNNNNNNNACACAGCCCCCCUCCCGGCACGACGCGCCUCUCGCUGUCGCCCAGUCCCCCUCCCAGCCCGACGCGCCUCCCGCCAGCCCCUAGCCCCAUCCACUGCUGGCCACCAGAGACGCCGCCCCCAUCCGCGUGCUCCGCCGUUGAGACGGACGCCCGUCCUUCCCUGGAUGCGCUUGCCCAUGUGCCAUGCUGCUGGAUCCACCUGCCACUUGUGGGGAACCACGGUCUCCGGUGCCAAAGUUGCAUGGAUUCCAAUCCCCCAUCGUCGUCACCACCAACUGCGGCCAAUCAUCGCCCCAACCCCGGCAUCAGGCGUCCUUCUUCCCCGGCUUCCACGGGUGUGCCCUCCUCCUCCCCAGCAUCCCGCUUCGGUGUCGUCGCCCCUACCAAUCCUAGGCUUCAACUCCUGACUGUGUUGAUGGUGGCAGAUGCUCCAGCGGCGUGCUCACCCUUCACGUGGUGAUUGAACUGCAGUGCUCAUGUAAAAUGCUCCACAGUGACCUCUGCCAAUACUUGUUUCUGCUACGCCGACCUGCUCCCUUUCCAACCCAUGAACUGUGCAAACUUUGUGUGAUGUGUGUUAGUUCUUUUAUCUUAGGUAUGUGAACAAAGGUCUGCGAGUUAGUAACAUGAAUUCUUUUGAUUAUUUGGUUGUGCCGGAGGACCAGGGUUCAUCAAGACCAUGGAUUUGUACUGUUAAUUACUCCCUCCGUUCCAGAAUAUAAGGUGUAUUGAUUUCCGUGCAAAUCAACCAUUUGAAAGUUUGACCAAGAUUAUAGAACAAAAUAGAAACAUUUGCAAUACCUAAUAGAUAAAAUAUGAAACUACCUUUCAUGAUGGAUCAAAUGAUAUAAAUUUUAUAUUAUGGAUAUUGAUACAUUUCUCUAAAAACUUGGUCAAACUUGCACUCAUUUGACUUUUGAAAAAACAAAUACACCUUAUAUAAAGGAACGGAGGGAGUACUAAACAAGUUGAGAAAAAAAUUGAUGUCGCAAAAAAAGAGUACAGAGUAUGGGUUUUUCCUGAGGCAAUCAUGUUGUCUCAUUAAAUUUUUUUCCUGAGGAAAAGGAAGGGAUCCUACUCAACUACAUAGCAUCUGUAUAUUCAUUUCUUCAUGUUAGUUGUUCUUGCUCCAUUUUGUAACCCAUGUUGAUUUUGCAUGUCGGGUGUACAUCGUGAAAUCCGUUUUCUGCUUUAGAAAAGCCAAUUAGUUAAAAUAACCAAGCGGACAAAUAUUUAAUGCAAAAAUGUGUAUUUUCCGUUACGAAUGAGUGAUUUUCUUUUUCUUUUUGUGUAUAUAAGAGAAAUGGAAAUAAGUUCAAAUAUAAGAAAUGAAAAAGUUCGUAAUAUGUUACACGAUAAAAAAUUCACGUACGAAAUUCAUGUGUAGAAAUAAAAUGUAAAUUUAGAAUGAAGUUCAUAUAUAAAAAAGGUUGAAGUUCGCAUAGAGAGAAAAGGUGCAUUUGUAAAAAAGAUCUACUAAAAAGUGCAUAUUCUCUCAUUCUUGAUGCUUAUAUGGUCGUCCCCGAGGAUUAAAAACGCAGAGCUCACAAUUAACACAAUGAUAAUUAAAAAAAUGUUGAAGUUUUGUCCUCCAGAAAAGUUCAUGCAUAUAAUAAACCAAAAUCGAGAGGUUUGAGAAAUCAAACCCGCCAAAUAAAAAAAUAUACCAAAAAGGUGAAAAAUGUACCUAAAAAGGUUUAAAAAACAUAGAGGUUCAAAUUUAAAAACAUGGAGUGGCUUAAUGUUUAUUAAAAAAAUAGAAUUUUUCCAUUACAAAAAGAAAUAAAACCUAGAAGUCCAAAUAAAAUAAGAGGGUCAGGUCGAAGAUUAAAAAUAAUAAUCAGAUUUCCUCUUUAUUAAAAAAAUGGAAACAAGAAGAUAAAAAAUCACAUUGGUUCGAUGUAUAAAUGUCAAAAAAUCCAAAUCCGCUGACAAGAAGAUCAUAGGAAGUUCAAACAAAAAUAACAGAGCAGUUCAAAAAUAAAAGAGCGCUUAGAAAGCAAAUAUUUCAUCAUUUCUAAAAAUAAAAAACGAGAAGUUUUAAUUUAAAAUUGGGAAAUUCAAAAAUCAUAUAAAAUUACAUUCAUCAUUUCUAAAAUUGAAAAAGUCUAGAAGUUCAAAUUUUAAAUAACAAAUGUUCCAACAUUUAUUAAAAAACUAGGAUAUUUCCGUUACUACAAAAAUAAUCAAGAAGUCCAAAUUACAAAAAUAGAGAAGUUCGAUAUUUAUAAAAAAAACUCAAACUUUCUUUGUUACUAAAGAAUAAAAAUGAAGAAGUUCAAAUUUAGAAAAAGGAGUAGUUCGAUGUAUACGGAAGCAUAAAUUCUUUCUAUUUCUCAGAAAGAUAAAAAUUAUGAAGUUCAAUUUUUAAAGAAAUGUUUGGUGCUUAUUUAAAAACAUUUUUUCUAAAAAAUGAAGAAGUUCAAUUAGAAAAAGCAUACCAGUUUGAUAAUUAUUUAAAAACUCGGAUUUUUCUGGUUACUCAAGAAUAAAACCAAUAAGUUCAAUUGAAAAUAAUGAAGAAGUUUGAUGUUACUAACGAAACUCCAAUUUUCAUAUUUCUAAUAAAAAUACACGAAGAAGUUCAAAUAUAAAAGUGAGAGAGGUUUGAUGUCUAUAACAAACUCACACUUUUUUCGUUACUAAACUGAAAUAGAGAGAAGUUCAAAUUGAUAAUAGCUAGAAGUUCAUGUACUGCAUGGUGUGCGUUUCAUAUGAGAAAAAAGAUUAAAAAGGUAAAGUCCAAAAAUUUUGUUGCUCGAAGUUCAAGUGCUCGGCCCGAGAGAAUUCAAAAACUCUAGUGAGAGAGGUUUAACUAAAAUAUGUGACAAAAGUUCAAACUGAAAAUAGUGGGAAGUUCAACUACUAAACGAAAUGUGUUUCAGAUAAGAAUAAAAUGAAUAGAAAACUAAAAGCUUAAAAGUUUUGUUGCAAGAAGUUCACAUGCACCUCCAUGCAUGGUUCAUAAUUUAUAUUGUGGGACAUCGGACCUCCAAUUAAAUGUUUUAAAAAUGCCAAAAAAUGACGUCCGACCUUCAGUUGCAUGUAAUUCGACGUAUACACAAAAAUGCGAUAGAAGUUCAAGUACUGCAAGGAAUGCAUUUCAGGUGAGAAGAAAAGUAUAGAAAAAUAAAAGCUUAAUAGGUUUGUUGAAAGAAGUUCAAGUGCUCUGUCCUAGGAAGUUCAAAAAUUCUUACGAGAGAGGCUCAUCUUGUAUUUCCAUGUUCAAUUUUUUCCAUAUAAAACCCGAAUACAAUUCUUUACUCAAAAUAAAAAAAGGUGAAGUUCAAAAUUGAAAUAACAUAGAAGUUCGGAGUUUAUUAAAACCUAGGAUUUACCUUUUCAAAAAAUAAAAAGCACAACGCCAUUUUUUGCACUUUUGAAAACAAUCUCAUAAAUGAAAAAAAUGGUUGCUAGAGGUUCAAGUGCUCGGCGAGGAAAAGUUCAAAAAAAUUUGUGAGAGAGGUUCACCGUGUGUUUAGAUGUCCAAAAUAUAUAAAAAGAUGUUGUUUGUUGUGUUCUAAAAUAAUUCACUCAAACCAGAGAGAAGUUCAAAGUGAUAACAUCCGGACGUUCACGUACUGCAUGUUGUGUCGUAUAAGAAAAAUACAAUAUAAGUGAAACAACGUGAAGUUCAAACAGACAUGCCCCAGAAGUUCAACUACUUCACACGGUGCAAAAAACAACAAAACAGAGUGAGGUUCAAAAAAGACAUGUCCGUGAAGUUCAACUACUUCACGCAUUGCAUUUCCAUUCGCGAUGAAGGCAGAAAUCAUGAUCUUGUCAUUUUCUAAUUGACUUCAAAACGACAGGAAUAUCAUUUGUGUAAGUUCAAGUCCCCGGCCGGAGGAAGUUAAAAAAAUUAUUGUGAGAAGGGUUUGUACAAAAGGAAAAUCAUUUGUGUAACACUGACAAAUGGAUGAGGAAAUUACAAACGAAAAUACGUCACAUAAGUUCAACGUGAAAACAACAGGAAGUUCAACUACUACACUGAAUGAAUUUCACAUGAAAAUCUUUUAAAACCAUCGCGAGUAUGAAAAAAUGAUCAACAUGGGAAAGUUGCGUGUUUACAGCAACUUUCCAUCGGAAUAUCACUCUUGAAUUCCGAGGAGUGGAUGGAGAGCUACAAGUAGUGGAUGGAGAUCUGCGAGCAAAAAAAAGCACGUCGAAAACAGAGUGAAGUUCAGGUACACGCGACGAGAAGUUCAGGUUCUUCACACGGUGCAUUUUCGAAGAAUCUGUUUCGCGAUAAAGGCAGAACGAAUGAUCUCGUCAUUUCCGAAAUUACUUGAAAACGGUCAGGAUUCAGAGAAAACCAUCAACCUGAAAAAGUUUCGCAUUUUCCAUAGCUUUUCAGCAGUAUAUUAUUUGCCCCAUUCCGAUAAAGUUUGUAGAAAUUAUGGCAAAAAUACAUUUUUAACCAUUUUCAAAACUGACAUAAAACCGUAAUGAGUUAGGAGAAACAAUAUAUACAAAAUAGUUUCGCAUUUCUUCAAGCUUUUCAACGCCAUAUCAUUUGCUGCAUUUCGACGUACGGUUAAAAAAUUAGCUCGAAAAUACGAACUCGGUGGAACUUGUACCGUUUUCUAAAUUACUUUUAAACCAUUCAAAAUUAGAAAACACUUUUAACAUAAAAAAGUAGUGCAUUUUCAUAAGCUUUCCAACGCCAUAUUAUUUGCUUUAAUUGGAUUAGCCGUUUAGAAAUGGCAUCGAAAAUACGAACUCGGGUGUUCGGUUUGCGAAAUUUUACGAUUUUCUGAAUUACUCUUUAACCGUAGGAAAUUAGAGAAAACUUUCAACAUGUGGAAGGAGCGGUUUUGCAGCAGCUUUCCAACGCCAUAUUAUUUGCCUCAUUGUGAUAAACGGUUUAAAAAUGCGAUCAAAAAUAUGAUUCACGUUUUUUAUAUGAAGAAAAAACGGUUUUCAAAACUGCUCUUAAACCGCUUACAUUUUGCCAAAAAUUUAACUUGGGUCAUGAUACUGAUGUCCAUAGCUAUCCAACGGUAUAUCGCAAGCCCCAUUUGCACACCUUUUAGCUGAAGUUCAACCUAGUACUCGGGGAAGGUCAGGCGCGUUACUCGGGAAGUUCAUGUUGUGAUCAGAAUAUUAUUCUGAUCCCGUGAUCAGAAUAGUGUUUAUAUAUAUAUAUAUAUAUAUAUAUAUAUAUAUAUAUAUAUAUAUAUAUAUUUGCUGAUUUAUUACAACAAGGUCUUCACGCCUCGAUGAACUUUUUACUAAAUCAAUGACAAUUAAUGUUUAUUUUGCUUUUUGUUUUGCGGCAUGUUGUUUUGUAUGCAAUCACAAAGAAAAAGAUAGUGCACACGCACAGAUACAAACACUUUGAACAGCCAGAGGAUAUAUAUACAUUGGUCAACGUAUCUAUCAGAUUUCGAGGAUCACCGGAUAUAGAUAGACCAGAACGACCUGUCACUAUAGCUUAGAGAAAACAAAUCACAAAACAUCACUAUGUUAGUCUAUAUCAAUACCAAUAUAUAAACAUAACUAAAGGGGUGGAUGCAACUAAUAUUGACCAUUAAACUAGCUCAAUCUAAUUACACAGACUGCCCGACGAGUGCUCGACAUGUCUAGCGUGCAACUAAUAACAUAUCAAAUAUCAAUAUCGACACUAAUCACAUAAUUAACACGCAUAAUAUCCUACAUCAUAUUUACAUGCAAUUAAUAUACUGCCUAAUAUCAACGUGCAUUGCACCUACACAUUUACUAGUUUGAAGAAACAUAGUAAAACCGCUUGUAGCGUGAAAACCGAUAACAUGAUGCGGGACGAGACGAAGCA
rnacentral:lncRNA from 1 species